rnacentral:rRNA from 1 species
AGUGAACGCUGGCGGUAGGCUUAACACAUGCAAGUCGAACGGAAGCACAGUAAGGGCUUGCUCUUACGGGUGGCGAGUGGCGGACGUGAGAGGAGUACAUCGGAAUCUACUUCUUCGUGUGGGAUCACGUAGGGAAACUUACGCUCGUACCGCAGACGCCCUACGGGUGAAAGCAGGGGAUCUUCGGACCUGGCGCGGUUGAAUGAGCCGCUGUCGGUUUAGCUGGUUGGCGGGGUAAAGGCCCACCAAGGCGACGAUCCGUAGCUGGACGGAGUGGAGGAUCAGCCGCCCUGGAACUGAGACACGCUCCAGAGUCCUACGGGAGGCAGCAGUGGGGAAUAUUGGACAAUGGUCGCAAGCCUGGUCCAGCCAGACCGCGUGUGAGAAAGCGGCCUUCGGUUUGUAAAGCCGUUUUUUGGGGAAAGAAAAGCAGUAGGUUAAUACCCCGCUGUUCUGACGGUACUCAAUGAAGAAGCACCGGCUAACUUCGUG